rnacentral:lncRNA from 1 species
GUUGAAAGUUGUGACCCUCAAAUAGCUACUUACUCAACUACGUUUUCACAAAUAGGUUUUGUUCUUGCUUUUUAAAAACUAGUACUGCAGAUGUGAUGCAAGGCCAAAGUACAUCAAGCUGGUAGUAGGAUUUGUCUUCGUCUACACGGAGCUGCUUUUCCAGGGAGUUUUCUGUAAAGGUUAAACUGAGGAGGGACAAACAACCCAGACUGUUGCUAUUGUCACAUGGGCUGGGACCUUGGACUGAUCAAAAAGGGAAAAAGGAGAAAGCCAGCUGGGUGUGACCAUUGGUGACCGCUGCCAGACUCUGGGUGCAAGGGCAAGAAGAGUCCAGCAAGGUAGGAAACGUGGGAGCAAGCAGGCAUAGCUGCAAGAAUAAAAGCUGAGAAAUCACACCUUCAAGUGCAAGAAUGAUGCGGAGAGAGCAAACUGGAAUCAACAGUUUUCUGUAAAAUGAAAAAAACUGAGCAGUGUGAGCUACAA